GACGAACGCUGGCGGCGUGCUUAACACAUGCAAGUCGAACGGAAAGGCCCUGCUUGCAGGGUACUCGAGUGGCGAACGGGUGAGUAACACGUGGGUGAUCUGCCCUGCACUUCGGGAUAAGCCUGGGAAACUGGGUCUAAUACCGGAUAGGAGCCAUUUUUAGUGUGAUGGUUGGAAAGUUUUUUCGGUGUAGGAUGAGCUCGCGGCCUAUCAGCUUGUUGGUGGGGUAAUGGCCUACCAAGGCGGCGACGGGUAGCCGGCCUGAGAGGGUGGACGGCCACAUUGGGACUGAGAUGCGGCCCAGACUCCUACGGGAGGCAGCAGUGGGGAAUAUUGCACAAUGGGCGCAAGCCUGAUGCAGCGACGCCGCGUGGGGGAUGACGGCCUUCGGGUUGUAAACUCCUUUCGCUAGGGACGAAGCUUUUGUGACGGUACCUAGAGAAGAAGCACCGGCUAACUACGUG
rnacentral:rRNA from 1 species